rnacentral:ribozyme from 1 species
GGGCAGAUGUUGGAGGAGGCCUACUUGAGGUCAGGAGAGGUAACCUCUGAAUAUGCAAAGACAUUUUACCUAGGAACACAACUCAUGACACC